UCAAACCACCAGUUGUAACCUCCACUAGUAGCCCUAUAACUUCCACGUCAUCGAUUGCCAUCCAUCUUGCUAUUAAUGCACACCCUCAUUCUUCCUCAGCUGCUCGAGCUAGUUCUUCCAGAGGGACAUGGCAGUCUCCCUUGAGCAUACACCAACCUGGGCUUUUGCCACAAUCUUCUUCUUCACAAUCUUUAUCUCAUACCUCCUAAAACGUUCCAUCGAUUUCGCUGGCACCUGGCUCAAGAGACGUCAGAAGAUCUCAUUGUAUGAUGCAGUUGAUAAGCUCAAAGAGGAGCUGAUGAUUCUGGGAUUGUUAUCUCUAAUCCUAGCUGUAGUCCAGAAACCUAUUUCAUAUAUUUGCAUACCAACCAAAGCAGCAGACUUUUUGCUCCCUUGCAGCAAAGUUCACGACAAAACCAAUUCUUCCUCUUCUGGCCAUUGUGCUGCUAGAGGGAUGGUUUCUCUGGUGAGCCAACAAGGGGUCCAUCAGCUCCAUAUAUUCAUCUUUGUGUUGGCUGUCGUGCACGUCCUCUGCGGUGUAGUCACCAUGGUUCUCGGAAGAGUUAAGACGAGGCGUUGGAAAGCUUGGGAGAAGGAGACAGCAACAACUGUGUACCAGAUUGCCAAUGACUCAAGGAGGUUUCGAUUCACGAGGGACACUUCAUUCGCAAUAAGACAUGUAAAUCUGUGGACAACAACUUCGGUUUAUAUGUGGAUUAGAUGCUUCUUUAGGCAAUUCUAUGUAGUAGAUAAAGUGGACUAUCUCACAUUGCGGAAUGGUUUCAUCUUGGCUCACUUCUCCAGGCGCAGAACAUUUAAUUUCCAGAAGUACAUCAAAAGAGCAUUGGAUGAUGACUUUAAAACUGUGAUUAGAAUCAGCCCUUUCAUGUGGUUCCUGAUGGUCAUUUUCAUGCUUAUUGAUAUCCAUAGAUGGUAUUCGUACUUUUGGUUAUCCUUCCUGCCUUUAGUUAUUGUAUUAUCUGUGGGAGCGAAUCUCCAUAUGAUCGUUACUAAAAUGGCUCUUCAACUAGACAAGCAGAGGACUGUAAUAUCAGGAGCGCCUCCAGUGCAACCAAAUGAUGAUCUUUUCUGGUUUGGCAACCCUAGAUUGAUCCUAUUUCUCCUCCAUUUAUCUUUUUUUCAGAAUGCUUUUGAGCUCACAUUCUUCAUUUGGAUCUGGUAUGAAUUUGGUUUGAAGUCUUGUUACCACGAAAACUUGGGAAUCACCAUAGCAAGGGUGACGAUAGCGUAAGUUGAAUUCAUCCGAUGGUUGUUCAAUUCCUUUCUAGUUACAUCACUCUUCCCCUGUAUGCACUUGUAUCUCAGAUGGGCUCAGAUUUCAAGCCAUCCAUGCUUGAAGAUAGAACAAGAGAAGCCUUAAGAGGAUGGUAUGAAGACGUGACAAGAAAGCGAAAGAAGCAACAUACAUGCAAGAAUCCGUCAUCAUUUCAUAUGCAGGACAGCAGGAUAUCAAUGCGGACUACCACUUAACAUAUGUUCUUUUAUGAUAUCUUGUGUGUAAAUACAAAUAUCUCCAGGAAGCAGUUAAUCUGCAGGAAACUUUACAUUGGCUGUACUGAAUCUUGCAUGAUUCCAUAUAUCUAGAGGUCCAUAUGUUCAUCUUUAGUUGAGAAGGUCAAAAAAAAAAAAACAAAGAAUUUUGCAGCUACCAGUUUUUAUUUUGUUGCUGGUUCCUUAGUAUAAGAGAUAUGGGAAUAAAAAAAAAUAUUUGGCCUAAAGAUAUGAA